GGGAGGGGAGGAGGGGAGCCCGCAAUGUAAGAAACUCGGGCGUGGAGUAGUUAGGUCGACAAAGACACUGGCCAACAGUCGGCAGAGGUUCUGGACUCAGAACAGAGUUAGGGGCAUGCACUGUGGCAUUCCCUCGUGAUCUUGGAGACUCCGCUCUCCGGGAAGGAUCACGCACGAAAGAGGCGGACGCUCCGUGUGUGCUGUGUCCACGUGUGCAAGCUCGCGAGGCAAGGGGGCGCGGAAGCCGUGACAAAGACGAACUUUGUGUCUCGGUGUGUUCCUCGCUCCAGCCGGGAGCAGCGAACUGUGGUAGGGAUGUGUCUCAUGGGAAAGCCAGGACGAAAGUGACAAAGGUUGGGUGUCUGUUAUGAGGAGACGCGCCAAGGUGGCCACCAUGCGUCCGUGGGUGCGUGCGAUCACUGAGGGAUACAGCCUAGGGGUGUAUGGGACUGCACCCGGAGCAGCUUUCGGGAGAGAAAGGCGAGUCCAGAAAGUGAGUACGCGCAAGUGUGCGCGCGCCCGCGUGUGGGGGCGUGGCAGUAAACAGCAACAACCCACUCGUCAGUUUGGCCAGAAACUCGAAUCUCCCUUCCCA
rnacentral:lncRNA from 1 species